rnacentral:tRNA from 1 species
GUUGUGGCUCAGUGUUAGAGUGCUUGCCUCGCACAUAUGAGGCAUUGGGUUCGAUCCUCAGCACGACA